CAAUAGCGUAUAUUUAAGUUGUUGCAGUUAAAAAGCUCGUAGUUGGAUUUCGGGUGGGACGCAGCGGUCUCGCAUUGCGUUUGUACUGCUGCAGCCCUCCUUCUUGCCGGGGGCGGCCUCUCGGACUUCACUGUCUGGGGGUCAGAAUCGGCGAUGUUACUUUGAGUAAAUUAGAGUGUUCAAAGCAAGCUUACGCUCUGAAUAUAAUAGCAUGGGAUAACACGACAGGACUCUGGCCUAUCGUGUUGGUCUAUAGGACCAGAGUAAUGAUUAAGAGGGACAGUCGGGGGCAUUCGUAUUCCGUUGUCAGAGGUGAAAUUCUUGGAUUUACGGAAGACGAACAUCUGCGAAAGCAUUUGCCAAGGAUGUUUUCAUUG
rnacentral:rRNA from 1 species